AUGAAUCCAACAAAAAACAGUGGUCGCGGCGGCGAAUUUGACAUUCCUUCUAAUAAUCCUCAUGGAAACAGAGCUGAGAGAAUACAGAAAAACAUUGAUACCAUUGGCAGCCGCAGUGCACACGGCACCACCACAACGCAUCCCGCCAGGCAGCUGCCGAGGACGACACACAGUAGGCCACCGCUGCGCCAGACCGCCUCCCCCGCGCCUCCCACACAGGCCUGCCGAUCUGGCGAGCAACCGAGCCAGCCCCGCAUCCCCUGUCGCCCAGCCACCCACCGGAGAGCUCCACCACCACGGCACGGGGAUGCCGUCGCCGCCGCCGUCACAGGCCGGGCCGCGGCUGGACGAGGCGUUGGCCUUCUCGGGGUCAACGCGAGCAGACGAAGCGGCGCGAGAUCAUCGGCCGGACCUAGGGGGGCAUGCGCAGGUGGCAGAGGCUGUGGACGUCCGAAUCGAGCCGAAGCCAACGCAGGGAUCAGAUACUGGGCUGGCGGCCAGAUCGGGCGACGCAGCUCCAAAGCGCCAUCCAUGGCGUCCUCUCGUGGUUCCUUACCGACAGGGGGGGUUGCUGCCCUAGCCUAG
rnacentral:rRNA from 1 species